rnacentral:rRNA from 1 species
UGCUAAUACAUGCAAGUCGAGCGAACAGACGAGGUGCUUGCACCUCUGACGUUAGCGGCGGACGGGUGAGUAACACGUGGGUAACCUACCUAUAAGACUGGAAUAACUCCGGGAAACCGGGGCUAAUGCCGGAUAACAUAUUGAACCGCAUGGUUCAAUAGUGAAAGACGGUCUUGCUGUCACUUAUAGAUGGACCCGCGCCGUAUUAGCUAGUUGGUAAGGUAACGGCUUACCAAGGCGACGAUACGUAGCCGACCUGAGAGGGUGAUCGGCCACACUGGAACUGAGACACGGUCCAGACUCCUACGGGAGGCAGCAGUAGGGAAUCUUCCGCAAUGGGCGAAAGCCUGACGGAGCAACGCCGCGUGAGUGAUGAAGGUCUUCGGAUCGUAAAGCUCUGUUAUUAGGGAAGAACAAACGUGUAAGUAACUGUGCACGUCUUGACGGUACCUAAUCAGAAAGCCACGGCUAACUACGUGCCAGCAGCCGCGGUAAUACGUAGGUGGCAAGCGUUAUCCGGAAUUAUUGGGCGUAAAGCGCGCGUAGGCGGUUUUUUAAGUCUGAUGUGAAAGCCCACGGCUCAACCGUGGAGGGUCAUUGGAAACUGGAAAACUUGAGUGCAGAAGAGGAAAGUGGAAUUCCAUGUGUAGCGGUGAAAUGCGCAGAGAUAUGGAGGAACACCAGUGGCGAAGGCGGCUUUCUGGUCUGCAACUGACGCUGAUGUGCGAAAGCGUGGGGAUCAAACAGGAUUAGAUACCCUGGUAGUCCACGCCGUAAACGAUGAGUGCUAAGUGUUAGGGGGUUUCCGCCCCUUAGUGCUGCAGCUAACGCAUUAAGCACUCCGCCUGGGGAGUACGGUCGCAAGACUGAAACUCAAAGGAAUUGACGGGGACCCGCACAAGCGGUGGAGCAUGUGGUUUAAUUCGAAGCAACGCGAAGAACCUUACCAAAUCUUGACAUCCUUUGACCGCACUAGAGAUAGUGUUUUCCUCUUCGGAGGACAAAGUGACAGGUGGUGCAUGGUUGUCGUCAGCUCGUGUCGUGAGAUGUUGGGUUAAGUCCCGCAACGAGCGCAACCCUUGAGCUUAGUUGCCAUCAUUAAGUUGGGCACUCUAAGCUGACUGCCGGUGACAACCGGAGGAAGGUGGGGAUGACGUCAAAUCAUCAUGCCCCUUAUGAUUUGGGCUACACACGUGCUACAAUGGACAUUACAAAGGGCAGCAAAACCGCGAGGUCAAGCAAAUCCCAUAAAGAUGUUCUCAGUUCGGAUUGUAGUCUGCAACUCGACUACAUGAAGCUGGAAUCGCUAGUAAUCGUAGAUCAGCAUGCUACGGUGAAUACGUUCCCGGGUCUUGUACACACCGCCCGUCACACCACGAGAGUUUGUAACACCCGAAGCCGGUGGAGUAACCAUUGGAGCUAGCCGUCGAAGGUGGACAAAGGG